rnacentral:lncRNA from 1 species
GGUUAAGUCUCUUGCCUAAGAUUUCCCAGCUAACAGAAAUAUAGUUCCUUCACUUUCUCUAAGUGUUCUUCUCUUUCACUCUGACUCAGAUCAUCUUUUUGCUAUUGCUGUUAACUUGGUCUUCUGGUCUUUUUCUCAGGUUUCUACCUUAGAUGCCUAUUAAUUUCAUUGGCAUAUCUACAAACUCAGAUGGGUCCAGUGUGGUAAAUCCUAUUAGCUGCAUACUCUAUGAGAAGAAGGAAUUGUGCUUGUCAGGUUCAUGCCCGUAUCCUCUGACACAUGGUUUCUCUCUUUUCCUGCAAAAAAAGUCUCUGGCCUCUCCCUCAGGAUGUUUAACCUCAAAGAAAGCUUCCUGGGUGGCAAAGCAGCUUGCCAGCCACAGUCACCGUGCAA